UACGUAGGGACCAAGCGUUGUUCGGAUUUACUGGGCGUAAAGGGCGCGUAGGCGGCAAAUUGAGUCAGCUGUGAAAUCUCCGAGCUUAACUCGGAACUGUCAGCUGAUACUGAUGUGCUAGAGUGCGGAAGGGGCAAUCGGAAUUCUUGGUGUAGUGGUGAAAUGCGUAGAUAUCGGGAGGAACACCAGUGGCGAAGGCGACUUCCUGGCCUGUUCUUGACGCUGAGGCGCGAAAGCUAGGGUAGCAAACGGG
rnacentral:rRNA from 1 species